GGGGGUCUCCGAAGUGGAGACGGGUGAGUAACGCGUGGGAACCUUCCCUAUGGUACGGAAUAGCUCCGGGAAACUGGAAUUAAUACCGUAUACGCCCUUCGGGGGAAAGAUUUAUCGCCAUAGGAUGGGCCCGCGUUGGAUUAGCUUGUUGGUGAGGUAAAAGCUCACCAAGGCGACGAUCCAUAGCUGGUCUUAGAGGAUGAUCAGCCACACUGGGACUGAGACACGGCCCAGACUCCUACGGGAGGCAGCAGUGGGGGAUAUUGGACAAUGGGCGCAAGCCUGAUCCAGCCAUGCCGCGUGAGUGACGAAGGCCUUAGGGUUGUAAAGCUCUUUUGGCGGGGACGAUAAUGACGGUACCCGCAGAAUAAGCCCCGGCUAACUUCGUGCCAGCAGCCGCGGUAAUACGAAGGGGGCUAGCGUUGUUCGGAAUCACUGGGCGUAAAGCGCACGUAGGCUGACUGGUCAGUUGGGGGUGAAAUCCCGGGGCUCAACCCCGGAACUGCCUUCAAUACUGCCAGUCUUGAGUCCGAGAGAGGUGAGUGGAAUUCCUAGUGUAGAGGUGAAAUUCGUAGAUAUUAGGAAGAACACCAGUGGCGAAGGCGGCUCACUGGCUCGGUACUGACGCUGAGGUGCGAAAGCGUGGGGAG
rnacentral:rRNA from 1 species